GCACGGUGAAUCAGUAGUCCUUUGCGACCGUAUAGCCCCAACCUCACCUCCCAAUUCCACCAGAGCCCGUCGCGGCACCGAUUUCCCCAUUCUAAGACGCCGGCGAGCAGAAUUCUCCGCUCUCCGUGGCCAGCCGUUCCCAGGUCUGCUCCUGAUCUUCUUAAUCGUGUUUUAGCACCCAUACAUGCUCGUGAUACUCAUCGGCUGAACCCUCUAUGCUUGACCACACUCAAUUAACCAGAACACAUGGAUUUGUAUUCGGUAUUCACCGCCACCGUGGUCGGGCUAAGCCAGGAACAUAAUAACCCAAUUAAAGCUUGUUCUAGGUGUGUCUCAGGUCAGGGAUGCUUGCCCAAUAAUUAAUUUGGGCAGCCACCACCGAUCUUGGCCGGUCCGAGCAACAGGGUGGUCGACGAUGAGCGCGUCGUAAUCCUGGGUCAAUUUGGAGAAGUAAUAAAAAUCGGGGGACCUCUGUGCAUUUGUCAGUGAGACAAUGAAUAGUGGCUAAGGGCUCUUCACCAGUUAUUUGAUUUAUCAGGGGCCUUUUCGCAAGACCGGCAACGCGGGCGCGGGCGCGCGCGCGCGCGUGUCCUCGCUUCUGCAGGCUGGUUUGGGCUGAAUUCAGCCCAACACUAUUCAUAGUUUCUCUUUUUCUUUUUCUGCCAGGAUUAGAGAAUUUCUAGAAAAUUGUAGAAAAAUGCUAAAAAUACAAGACCGAUUUUUCUAGGCUCCUAAAUUUCUAUAGUAUUUAAUAAAAAUAGUUUUAUGAUUUUCAGUCCAAAUAAGGAAUUAUGGAGUAUUUAAAACAGCCAAAACCUAUACUCCUAGAAUUUUAGAAAUUAGUAAUAACUCCAAAAAUCACCAAACUUUUUGGAUAAGCUUAAAAUAAUAUUUAGAAGCUUUGGGUAAAGUUUGGUAUGGUUUGGACGAUGUUUGUUACCUAAACCCCAAAACCCUAAACUUGUAAGUAGUGCCUGCCCUAUGAACUACAAUACUGACUUCAAAAACCCUAAUUUCCUGGAGUCCCGUGAAGGAAAAUUGUAUUCAAGACCUAAGAUAAUGUACCUUUAUUAUCUUUGUAUUUUCAUAAGCAUUACAUGAGCAUUCAUGAUUAUAUAUGGUUCUAUAUAGAAAAUGAAGAAGAAGUAGAGGUUGAAGAAGGAAGAGCUACACCACCACCUAAAGACCCACCUGCCGGGAACUGCUUUUAUUUUGAUAUUUGUGGAGCAGAGCCUGACUAUCCUAUAACACAAGGCAAGCCUCGGUGCAUUUGCCACCUCCUUGCUAUUUUAAAGUCUUUCUCACUUACUUGAUGCAUUAGGUGAUAGGAAUUGUGUGCUAAACAAUUGAUGCAUUUCCUUCCUUGGAAGAUUGAUUACCUUUCCUUAAUCACCUGUUUCAUAAAAAGGUUUUUCUUAUGCUUAGUCUUGCUCUAGAAAAACAAAAUGUUUUGUUUGCCAAAAGAUGAUGCUUAAACUGGGAUGGGAUGUUUUCAAAAAUAAAACUGGAUGGUGGAUCCAUCAUGGCCAUGAUAGGUUCAACAUCUGAAAAGAUGUACCUCUGUCAGGUACCAAAAUUUGGGUUGAAAUGAUAAAGCUAAGACCGAGCGGGGUGACUUGCACGGGAAGAGAGUCUAGGUGUAGUGUCUCCGUCUGAGUCGAUUAAGGACCUUGUCGAUGUAGGCUUGAUGAUGGAGGACCCUUUAACUGGUCACAUGCCUCAUCAUGGGUAAGCUUUGCCUCGGACAAACUAAUACCAGAAUAAGAUAACACACAAUGGGAGUGGAGAGAUGGCGAGACUAGCGUGUACCCUCCGUGGCAAGAGGCUGGACGGUGGUGUAUCUGUGCUCUCGGUUGGCUUGAACCUGAUCUGGUCUUAAGAAACCCGGUGGCGAGUUGACAUAUGCAAGGGUUCAGUGCUACAUAUGUCGUGUGAUUGGAGAUCCUCAGCUGAGUAUUAAUCGAUUCGGAUCGCUGUUACUUCUCGGACAUGAAGACUUGGUCACUAACCUACACGUAGCAUUCUAGUGAACAAGAAGGGUUGAUAAGAAAAUGGCUAGUAUAAGCCAAGUGCUUGAACUAGGGUAGAAAGAACUCUAGAAUCAGGUAAUGAAUUAACUUGCUAAUAAAACUGGAUUUUAAGGAUCCACUAUUAGUAAGCAUUUUUGCAAACAGAGUCUUGAUUCUUGAUUAAACCUUACCUUGACUCCCUCAAGCUAGCAUAUCCUUGAGAGUCUUUUAUUUUGACGAGUAAGACUUGCAAAAGUACACUUCGUACUCAGGGUUUUCGAACCCAUGUUGUUGUAGGUGAGGAAGCAGCAAACUUUUGUUGCUUUUGUUCUAAGGAUGAAGCUCAAGAAUGAAGUCACGGGAGGAUGUUGUCCUCCCUUUUAAAAACACUUUACUAUUAAACGAGAGGGGUUUUUGCCUCCCGGGUUUGUAAUAAUAUUACUCC
rnacentral:lncRNA from 1 species